GCGUGGCAUUUCGGAAGGCUUAGGAGGUGCUGGUCUUUCACGUGACACUAAAGCGCCAUGCCGGAAGCACUGAGUCUGAUGCGCCGGAACCAGUUUCCACCGUGUGGUUUGGUCUUGAUUUCCACUGGUUCUCUGGGGUCUUGGAUACCCUCCGGACCUCGCCUUUGCCAUUUGCGAAGUAGAUAGGUUCCAAUAGAGAUUUUACCAAAAUCAUUCAACUGAAAAUAGGUAACUUUUUUUUUGAAAGGAAGGACGGGGGCGCGGUUAAAGAUGUUAAUCUUAAGUCAUCCCUUCUGUGAUUUCGGGACAUUGUCUUUGCACGCCACGUGAAGAUGUUCUUGCUUCCCUGUCACCUUCCACCAUGAUUGUAAGUUUCCUGAGGCCUCCCCAGAAGCAGAAGCCUGUACAGCCCACAGAACUAUGACCUGAUUAAAUCUCUUUUCUUUAUAAAUUACCCAGUCUCAGGUAUGUCUUUAUGUCAGUGUGAGAAUGGACUAAUACAGAAACUUAAUGCCUCAUGCAAUAGUGUUGAGAGGUGGAACUUUUAAAAGAUGAUUAGGUCAUGAGAGCCCUCCCUCAUGAAUAUAUCAAUGCUGUUAUCAGAGGAGUAGGUUCCUGAUAAAAGAAGGAUUUUGGAGAUUGGCCCUUUCUCUCUCGGGAAAUGGGGAGGUAUUAGUCACAGGGUACAAACUUGUUUAUACAAGAUUAGAGAUCUAACAACACUGUAGAAUGUAUUUACAAAAUUUGUUAAGAGAAUAGAUCUUAUGUGUUCUACUCACACGUAACAUAAUGAAAAGACAGGAAGAAACUUUUGGAGGUGAUGAAUAGGUUUAUGGCAUAGAUUGUGGUAAUAGUUUCACAGGUAUAUAUUUAUCUUCAGACUCAUCAAGUCUUAUAUAUUAAAUAUAUGCAAUUUUUGUAUGUCAAUCAUACUUCAAUAAAGUUUUUUUUUUUUUUUUUU